UUUGCAUUUUCCAUACUGUCACAACUUUGUUCUGAUUUGUGGCUGUAAAUGUGUAGAUGUGUAUUACUCUGUGUCUUAGUCCUCCGUUUUCCAGAGUUUGUUUUUCUAUCCUUUUCUUCACGCAGAUGUUUGAGCAGCACCUGAGGAUGGAGGGAGCGAGGGAGAGGGGGAAAGAGGGGGAAGAAAGAGAGAAAGAGAGACAGGCACUUAAGCAGCUUUGGGAUAAAGGGAAGAGCCAAUACAGUGCUGUAGCCAGUCCUUGGGUAAAACAGAAGCUGCGUCAGUUGAUCAAACAGAAGAACGAACAAGCGGAGUCCAACUUCAGCAGCAUCCCCACAGGCUUCAGGAAUCUGACUCCUAUUCCCGACCUGAACUUUCAACAUCUUCAACAGAACUCUUCCUCAUCUCUAAUCUAUGGAAGCGACCAGUUACGGAGAACAUACUCGGAGCCCCUCAUCAAGCUGAAGCUUAGGAGGAGCAUAAGUAACAGGAGGAAUCCUCUCUGUCAUAAAUCAAGUGCUCCCCCUACAGUGUGCAUUCCAGCAUCUGAGUGCAGUUUACCCUCCAGUCAGUCAAACAGUGGAUUGUUAGCCUGGAACUACACCGGAAAACAGUUCCACAAGAGUCAGAGUCAUCUGGACUGUGGAAUGAUGGAGGGUACCCCCAUGCAACCCUCUACAUAUUUGUAUGUCACACCUGACCAGGAGACUCUGGGGGGUGCUUUCUCUUCUGCUGCACCCUCUUUUUACGUCUCGAAUGAUCCUAGAUACCCUUCAGUCCUCACCAGUCCUCACCCACAGGUUCAACAAGUCCUGGUGGUAGGGCCAGAGAGGCCUCUGAUCAGAUCCAAGUCACAGCCAGCGUUUUUUAUUACUCAAUACUCUCCACCUCCAUAUAUCUUCCGGUCCUACAGCAGCCAACGGAAAAAAAAAAACAGACAGACACAAGAGGUGAGAGACAUUGGACAUUUUUUGUUGUUCUUACACUUCACAUUCUAUUGGGUUUUUAAUUAAUCUGGAGAUUGUCUAGAUUUAGGAAUAUAAAUUGACAUAUUAUGAUAUACUAGUACAUCUUAAAAAAAAACAUUGAAAAAUAUCAUGUGUUUUAGAAAAUUAGAAUAUUAUAUAAGACAUAUUGGUACUUUUGACAGUGUGGGCAGUGUGCCAAGUCCUGCUGGAAAAUGAAAUCCAGAUCUCCAUAAAGUUGUCAGCUGAGGGAAGUGCUGUACGAUUUUUGGGGAAAACACUGCACUGACUUUAGACUUGAUAUAACACAGUGGCUCAACACCAGCAGAUGACAUGUCUCUCCAAACCAUCACUGAUUGUGGAAACUUCACACUAGACCUCAAGCAGCUCGGACUCUGGUCCCUUGAUUUCCAUAAGAAAUGUAAAAUUUACUGAUGGUCAAUGAUGUGUAAUACAUCUAUAUGAUAUAAGUUUCACAUUUGAACUGCAUUAUUGAAAUAAAGUAACUUUUCAAUGAUAUUUACA
rnacentral:lncRNA from 1 species